rnacentral:lncRNA from 1 species
CUUGGACAAUGUGUUUUUCAUUUUUUAGUUAGUUUUUGUUUCUUGUUGCCAUUGAUCUUAUCUGCAAUUCAUUCCUAAAUUAUGACCGCGUUCUUUUUCUCGUUGGAAGUAAAAGGUCUUUCUUUUUGGGCUUUCUCAAUUAUAAAUCAAGAUAUUAUUCAUAAUUUGAAAAUAAUGAUAAGUAUACAUUGAAUAUAUAUGUCAGCGUUUAUAUGCUAUGAAAUUCAAAA